UGGUGGAGUGAUUUGUCUGGUUAAUUCCGUUAACGAACGAGACCACGUUUGUAUAAUAGGACCGUCGUCUUACGACGAACGAAACCUUCUUUACAAGACUUUCCGCUUCCAGCGGGAGGAAGUUCGUGGCAAUAACA
rnacentral:rRNA from 1 species